CCUGUUCACCUGCUCAGAGCGCGUGCUUAAAAUGUUUGAGCUUCAGACAGUCAGCCCUUUUUGACAUCCUGCUGAGAGGAAGGAAGACAGCUCUUGUGUGGACUCAGAAGACGCAACUGGCUGCAUGCUGCUGCGUGUUCUUACUUGAGCUCAUCCUCCUCAAUGAACCCGCUCUUGUCCUGAUCGAUGAUGGCGAACGCCUUCUUCAAGUCGUCGAUGGACUUGUGGGCCAGGCCGCAGGCGCUGAAGAACUUCUUGUGGUCGAACGAUCCGGCA